ensembl:lncRNA LINC00858 long intergenic non-protein coding RNA 858
GGGGGAGGAGCCAAGAUGGCCGAAUAGGAACAGCUCCGGUCUACAGCUCCCAGCGUGAGCGACGCAGAAGACGGGUGAUUUCUGCAUUUCCAUCUGAGUUAGGCUUGGCCACAAGAGACAAAUUGCAAGGCAUGGAGACAUUUUUCUAACACUUGAAAAUUCUAUGCAAGAGCACCAGGCAGCUCAGUCACCUUGUCACUUAUCUACUGGGUCACCUUGUUGGCAUGGGAUGCCAGCCAGGCUUGCAGCUGCUCCAUCCUCCCCUGAAUUUGUACUUCAGCUUCUCCACUCAUGGCCUGCCCUGAGGACUUCAUGGUUCAGCAUCAGAUAUGAAGACGACAGCCCUAUAGAGACUAUUUAACCAGCUUCUAAGGUGGUUAAAUAUCUUACCAGCCUAUGAUGAAGAAAGGGAAACUCACUUCAGGUCAAUAGAGAUUGUCAUUUGGGACCCCUUCAAGACAACCAAUUAUAUGACUGUCUCUAAAAUAUUGCUAUCCAGCCCCCAUUCCUCACUUUUGUCCUACUGGUAAUAAGACAUUCAUCGUGUAUCUUUCAGAAGUCCAGAUACCACAGUCUGAGUAGUUCUUUAAUCUGCUUAUCUGGUGAUUCCAUCACAAAUGGUUCAGAUACUUCCAGAGACAACUGCCUUUAGAGGAGUCAUACACAUUCUCCUUCAGCCUGGACACUAACUCAGUAAGCAGCAGCUUCAGAAUAAUGCACCUGUGAUCAGGCCAAUUGGGAUAGAGGCAUCAUCUGCCCUUAUCUUCUCAGAGCCAAAGAAACUAACUUAAUUUUCCGUAUCAGCUUCAUUUUCCCCUUUACUCAAUGCCCAGAGAUUAAUUCUUGGUUUCAGCCCCACCCCAUGAAAAGGAUGUCUAUUCAAUCAGAGAGACACAAAGAUGGCUUGUGCAAACCAAGCAAAAAAGACACAAGAGGAAUUUAUUCUGGUUAAUAAGCUGAGAGCAAACAUGUAGAGGCUAAUUGUAUGGUGAGUACAAGAAGAGUUUCUUAUCUGGGGAGUGUAUAAUGUUGGGGUAGACACUGUCAUUUGUUUUCUUAUCCAAUAGCCAUCAUUCUUCAUUGCUUAGAAAAAAAAACUUUGUGCUACAGCUGUCAGGCAAGUGGCAUGGGAUUUAGGAGAAAAUUAUUUGCUGUCAGCCCUGAAGGAUGAAGGAAUCACAAUUUCUCUGUACAAUCAUGGUAGUCAGCUUUCAAGAUUCCUCCAAUGAUUCUCAUCUCCUGCUAUUCAUGCCCUUGUGUAGUUAUCUCUUGCACAGAAUAGGGCUGAUGUGUGACCAGUAGGAUAUUAUGGAAAUGGCAGAAUUUGAUGUUCAUAAAAGAUGUUGCAGCUUUUACCUCGCUCUCUCAGAUUAUUCACCCUGGAGAAGGCUGUUGUUUAUCUUUUCACAUUGUGAAAACAUUCAAGUGGCCCUCUGUGAAGUCCAUGUGAUUGGGACUUGAGGCUUCCUGACAAUAGCCACCACGAAUUUGCCGACCAUGUGAGUGGCACAACUUUGUUCAGGUGACUGGAGGCCCAGCUGGCAUUUUGCCUGCUAUUUCAUAAGAGACUCCAAGCCAGAACCAUCCAACAGAGCCAACUAAGUCUCUUCCAAAUUCCUGGCCCAAAGAAACUCUGAGAGAUAAUACAUAUUUAUUGUUAUUUAAGCCACUGAAUUUCAGAGUAAUUUGUUAUGCAGAAAUAAAUAACACCAAUUGUGUUGAAU